UGGGAAAACACAUGGAAUUAGGUAAUUUUGUCUUUCCUCCUUCCCAAAGAGCCUUUAUUUAUUGUUUCUACAUUACACCUUGACUAGAUUUUAUUCCAGAAUUUGGAUGUUAAAGCGUUUUCCCAUUUUAUGCCUGCAGCCUCCCUUGUAACCGCACAAGCUACCGAUGAGGAGGUACGUAUCACAGCAGGGGAUCUGGCACGGCGUGUGUGUGUGUCUUCCUCUGCUUGGAAAGAGCAGGGACAAAUAUUAGUCUGAGAUGAAAGUGAAUGUCUUCACUUCGUUAGGAACAGGGCACUGAUAAUGACUCUGCCUCACAUGCUUGGCUAGCCUUGUGCCAUGCCCUGGGAGGCCGCCAAACUUGUGUUCAGCUGAUCCCUCGCUAUCUGCUAGGGAAGGCAGAGCCAAUGCCCACUCAACGGGACUUUGUCCUCCUGAUGGCAGGCAGCUUAUGAAACGUCAGCCUUUGCGUGUGCUGGCAUGGCAGAAAGGCUCUGCCCCUCACAAUAACGCCGUUCUCUGUGGACUCAGCUGGGAAAGGCUAGCACAAAGCUAAACCUGAGCGCCGGCAGGCUUAGAGCACUUUUCAGCAAGUUCUCAUCAGUUAUUGACAGUGCCCCAGGCAAUGACUGCAGGUUGGAUGGGCUUUCCACAGCAGGAGCAGAUGAAUGAUGCUUACCCUACAUUUAUGAGGAGUCAUCUGGCCCGUUCCUACUCUAAAAAACAACAAUCCAGUACCCAAACCUCAGAGGAGAGUCUGAGCUGUGUUCCUGGGCUGCCUGUGGAGGCCUCAGGACAGAAGCAGGUCUGUUCCUCAUAUGUGUGCACCAGUGCCUACUAGGCUUCAUGUGAAUUGUGUUGCCUGGCAUCAGACACAGCAAAAAGGGGAAAAAUCAACUCCCAAGAAGGCGUAAGAAGAGAGGAGGAGAACAUUAGUCAUGAGCUCCUUGUUUUGACUGAUGUGGUCAGCUCCGUACGUUUAACUUCCAUUCAGAAAUGUUCAUCUUUCAUUCAAGGAAGGUAACUCCUUGUACAAAUGUGACCUGGAGACACAACUUCCAAAGUCUGAUUUGGGAUUCCCUGAAAGCAGGCAUUGCCCAGUGGUGUGACUUGUGUGCAGACAUAGUGACCAGCAUGUAAUGUUCCUGCUGAGGUCUCUUCAUGCAUCAAAACUGUAGCAGAGGUUGUGGUACCUAUGUUGGCUCCUCCAUACACUGCUGUUUGCUGCUCUCAGAGGUUAAAAAAAUAUUUUCUUAUUUUUGAAAGGGAAACACUGAAACAUAUAUCUAAUAUCUAAUCUACUGUGCUGCUUUUGUCAGAUUCCCUUGGGGGGCAAUUGCACUUAGGAUUUCUUGUAGAGCAGUAGAAGAUAGCUGUGUCUCUGUCGUUACCUCCGUGUACUGGUCUGCUUGUCCAUGCAAGAUGGGUAUUUUGUACGUGGUUCUCUGUGUAUACGCCUCCAAAUGUAUCUUCUUGUAUGUUAGGAUCUGUGUGCAUCAGGGCAUGGGCCCUAUUUUGUGUCUCCAUAUGUCUCUGUGCAGGUCCAUUCCUCUGUACCAAGAACAUGAGAAAGGUAGUGAAGGUACAUGAGAAUGUAAUGAAAUCCAUAUGCUGCUAAAUUAAAGAGCACUAGAAAUGUGGCUGGAAUAAUCCUGUCACUCUGAUAGCUUAGACUAGAGCUGUGCAGGGUGCACAGACUGGGAAUACUGGUAGAACAUCAAACAACCUUGCAGGUGCACCACUCUCGGGUCUUCAGAUACUGCCCCUGUGUGUGCUCUCCAUUUACAACAUGCAAAUUCUGGGAGGGUUGACCUUCACUGCCUGGCAGUAGCACAGGGGCU
ensembl:lncRNA